rnacentral:rRNA from 1 species
UACGAAAGGGGCUAGCGUUGUUCGGAAUUACUGGGCGUAAAGCGCACGUAGGCGGCCUUGUAAGUUGGGGGUGAAAUCCCGGGGCUCAACUCCGGAACUGCAUUCAAGACUGCAAAGCUAGAGGACGCGAGAGGUUAGCGGAAUUCCGAGUGUAGAGGUGAAAUUCGUAGAUAUUCGGAAGAACACCAGUGGCGAAGGCGGCUAACUGGCGCGUUUCUGACGCUGAGGUGCGAAAGCGUGGGGAGCAACCAGG